CCGGGAUAGCUCAGUUGGUAGAGCAGAGGACUGAAAAUCCUC
rnacentral:tRNA from 2 species